UGGUGGAGCGAUUUGUCUGGUUAAUUCCGAUAACGAACGAGACUCUGGCUUAUUAAAUAGUUCGCCGAUUCCGAUCUGUCGGCGUUAACUUCUUAGAGGGACAAGUGGCUUUUAGCCACGCGAGAUUGAGCAAUAACA
rnacentral:rRNA from 1 species